UUGUGCAGCCGGGGUGCUAGCGGUACCUUGUACCUGCAAUCCGCUAUAGCAGGGGUGAUAUUGCGCAGAGGGCACAGGUUUGUAGAGCUGCCCUUGAUAAGUGGCGAUGAGGCUUGGGUCUUACGCGACGGAAAUCUGUGAAUCGUGUCAGGUCGGGAACGAAGCAGCACUAAGCAGAACCUUUCGGGUGCCGUGAGGGUGCCUGGGCUGAGUUUACUGUCAAGGUAACGUCUGGGAAUCUGCGUUCGGAAGCGCAAUGCACAA
rnacentral:SRP_RNA from 1 species